rnacentral:rRNA from 1 species
GGAGUUUUCGGCAAUGGGGGAAACCCUGACCGAGCAACGCCGCGUGAACGAUGAAGGUCUUCGGAUUGUAAAGUUCUGUUAUAAGGGAAGAAUGAUAGCUUGAGGAAAUGCUAGUUAUUUGACGGUACCUUAUUAGAAAGCCACGGCUAACUACGUGCCAGCAGCCGCGGUAAUACGUAGGUGGCGAGCGUUAUCCGGAAUUAUUGGGCGUAAAGAGUGAGCAGGCGGCAUGAUAAGUUUGAAGUGAAAGCGUGGGGCUUAACCCCAUACAGCUCCAAAAACUGUCAAGCUAGAGUGCGAGAGAGGUAAACGGAACUCCAUGUGUAGCGGUGAAAUGCGUAGAUAUAUGGAAGAACACCAGUGGCGAAGGCGGUUUACUAGCUCGAUACUGACGCUCAGUCACGAAAGCGUGGGGAGCAAAUA